GCUGGAACGCAGUAUCCAGCUCAUUGUGGUUCCAGACUCACAGGUGCUGGGAUUUUAGUGUUUAAUGUCAUGCUGGUUUGACCCUGUGCCCCUAAUCAUGCCGCCUCUCAAGUGUGAAACAGGCAUGGUCAACUGAGGCACAUCACCCAUGGUUUAGAACUGUUGGGUGACUUCUCUCAGUUUUAACUCACUGGAAUGUGUGUCUGGUAUCCUCAGUGCAGGGAACGUUUACAUCUGCCAGGAGAUUGAGUGCUGUCUUCAGUGAAAAACAGACAAGAGACCUCAGUAUGCGGUUCACAGGAGAACCAGCAACAGCCUGUGAGCCCUGAAGGCAGGGGCAGUGUUAUUUUGUUCAUUCAGACAGUAACGUGGCCGGGCGUGGUGGCGCACGCCUUUAAUCCCAGCACUCGGGAGGCAGAGGCAGGCGGAUUUCUGAGUUCGAGGCCAGCCUGGUCUACAAAGUGAGCUCCAGGACAGCCAGGGCGACACAGAGAAACCCUGUCUCGAAAAACCAAAAAAAAAAAAAAACCAAAAAAAAAAACCAAAAAAAAAAAAAACAAAAACAAAAACAAAAAAAAAAACCAAAAAACAGACAGUAACGUGAUCCUCACAGCUACCCAGCCUGUAGCCCGGAUCCGUGACCACAAGCUUACUGCCUACAGCUUAGUACACACUUACCGAGCAUUCUAUAAAGGUUGUCUGUCCUCCUCCUUAGAUGCCAUCUUUAAAGAAUUGAGUUUUUAAAAAAGAUUUUUUUAACGUGUGUCAUAAGAGAUGUUUUAUUAAACAGUCGUAAGUUCAGGCAAGGAUGAAGGGGUCGAGUUACUUUUUCUUACUUGCAGUCAAGUGUCAGUAUGUGCUGUUUUAUACAAUUCACUAUGUGAUGUGGGCCUUUGAAAACAGGAGACCGGCUCUGUGUACGGUUGAGAGCCCUUAAGUCACAGGUAGUGGUGGUUCAGUGCCUUGAUUCUUGAGUGCAGUGUCUCGUGGAAUCCUGUGUGUUUAACAUUCCCGGUCCCCUAUUGCUUAUCUCUGAGCAAAAGGACCCCCAUGCCUCCCACACCUGGAGAAACAAACCCAGCUGGGGAGACUUUCUGUUUCUGACAGCUAAGGGCUGGAGUCUGAGGCGGUCCACUGAUUCUGACAAUGGUGUGUGUCAGUCAUGUUAAUGGCCUAGUCAUCUGGUAUGGUUAGUUCAGACCGCUGUAGUGUGUAUGUAGAAGGACUUCUGAAGAGAAAAAGGCAGGAAGAGGGAAGAAGAGAGGAAGGCAGCCAUCAUUCAUUAGAUGCUGACCAGGGUCAGGACUGGUGCUGUGUGUACAUUCGUUCUUGUUGAGCAGUUUGAGACAAGGUUGGGGGAGCUGUUACUGAACCUACAAAGCUAACAGUUCAUUAAGAAUAGUCACAUUGCUGUCAUUGACUAUAGAUGAGUGUCCUAACCCUUAGCGUAAGAACCCCUCUCUGUGUAAAAGCAUCCCCAAUAAAGUUAGCCAGAAUAUCAAGUGUUUCUGAUUUUGGCUGACAUUGCAUUAGUGAAUUCUGAGUUGGAGAAGGGUCAGACUGUCUGAUUGACAGUGUGGCAGACCAAUCAAAAGGGGAGAAUUGGUUGUCACUUUCUAAAUGCAUUUUAUUUGAGAGAUGCCACAAUUUUCAAACCAUGAGACCCAUGGAGAUGGAAUUACCAGGGGUGUUAAUCCC
rnacentral:lncRNA from 1 species